rnacentral:misc_RNA from 1 species
AUGCGUCAUGACUUGUAUCGUCUUGAGCGUAUUGUGGGUUUCCUGUGUUGCAUACCUAAUAAUGGAAUCGUUUUGAUUGAUCGAAGUCCCUUUUCAUCACGUGUUGCUUUUUGCGACGCAUGAUGAACCUCGAAGCGGUCUCUAUGUUCCACCACGUUGAUGCAAGUGUCUUGAUGUUGUGGCCCAUUGAGUGUUGCUUGGUUUCGUGGAUACAGAACAUGAUUUGGGCAUAGGGUCACCUGUGACUCUUGUUUUGUCCUUUAUCAGUGUUCUUUAUAACGACGGUUCAUGCGCGCCUAGGCUCGUACCUGCGCGAUGUUCUUUGUCGAAGAGGAAUGCUACCUGGUUGAUCCUGCCAGUAGUCAU